rnacentral:rRNA from 1 species
CACGCCCUAAACGAUGUCAACUAGGUGUUGGGAGGGUAAAACCUUUUAGUACCGUAGCUAACGCGAGAAGUUGACCGCCUGGGGAGUACGGCCGCAAGGUUAAAACUCAAAGGAAUUGACGGGGACCCGCACAAGCGGUGGAUGAUGUGGAUUAAUUCGAUGCAACGCGAAAAACCUUACCCACCUUUGACAUGUACGGAAUCCUUUAGAGAUAGAGGAGUGCUCGAAAGAGAGCCGUAACACAGGUGC